UACAUUUUGUUGUAAGGUGCAUGGAAAUUUUUGAUGUUUCUGGGAAUAGUUUAAUUCUGUUGGGUGUAA
rnacentral:tRNA from 1 species